rnacentral:rRNA from 1 species
CAGGCCUAACACAUGCAAGUCGAACGGUAACAGGUCUUCGGAUGCUGACGAGUGGCGAACGGGUGAGUAAUACAUCGGAACGUGCCCGAUCGUGGGGGAUAACGGAGCGAAAGCUUUGCUAAUACCGCAUACGAUCUACGGAUGAAAGCAGGGGACCGCAAGGCCUUGCGCGGACGGAGCGGCCGAUGGCAGAUUAGGUAGUUGGUGGGAUAAAAGCUUACCAAGCCGACGAUCUGUAGCUGGUCUGAGAGGACGACCAGCCACACUGGGACUGAGACACGGCCCAGACUCCUACGGGAGGCAGCAGUGGGGAAUUUUGGACAAUGGGCGAAAGCUGAUCCAGCCAUGCCGCGUGCAGGAUGAAGGCCUUCGGGUUGUAAACUGCUUUUGUACGGAACGAAAAGACUCCUUCUAAUAAAGGGGGUUCAUGACGGUACCGUAAGAAUAAGCACCGGCUAACUACGUGCCAGCAGCCGCGGUAAUACGUAGGGUGCAAGCGUUAAUCGGAAUUACUGGGCGUAAAGCGUGCGCAGGCGGUUAUAUAAGACAGAUGUGAAAUCCCCGGGCUCAACCUGGGAACUGCAUUUGUGACUGUAUAGCUAGAGUACGGGCAGAGGGGGGAUGGAAUUCCGCGUGUAGCAGUGAAAAUGCGUAGAUAUGCGGAGGAACACCGAUGGCGAAGGCAAUCCCCUGGGCCUGUACUGACGCUCAUGCACGAAAGCGUGGGGAGCAACAGGAUUAGAUACCUGGUAUCCACGCC